UACGAAGGGUGCAAGCGUUAAUCGGAAUUACUGGGCGUAAAGGGUGCGUAGGCGGUUCGUUAAGUCUGUUGUGAAAUCCCCGGGCUCAACCUGGGAAUGGCAAUGGAUACUGGCGAGCUAGGGUGUGAUAGAGGAUGGUGGAAUUCCCGGUGUAGCGGUGAAAUGCGUAGAGAUCGGGAGGAACAUCAGUGGCGAAGGCGGCCAUCUGGAUCAACACUGACGCUGAAGCACGAAAGCGUGGGGAGCAAACAGG
rnacentral:rRNA from 1 species